rnacentral:rRNA from 1 species
UACAGAGGUCCCAAGCGUUGUUCGGAUUCACUGGGCGUAAAGGGUGCGUAGGUGGCAGGGCAAGUCUGACGUGAAAUCUCCGAGCUUAACUCGGAAAUGGCGUUGGAAACUGCUUUGCUCGAGGGUUGGAGGGGGGACUGGAAUACUUGGUGUAGCAGUGAAAUGCGUAGAUAUCAAGUGGAACACCAGUGGCGAAGGCGAGUCCCUGGACAACUCCUGACACUGAGGCACGAAAGCUAGGGGAGCAAACGGG